AUGUCUCCUGGCUCCAUCACCAAAUAUUUCUUGAGUCAGACCUGACAACCCUAUUGGCAACCCUAACCCAAAACUAUUCCACAUAAUUGACUGACAGGAGCAGAAGAACAAGAACACUUAAAGUUGCCAAGUCCCAGGCCCUCCCCACUGCACAUGACGCCCCCAAACACUCAUCUCUUCCGUUUUACAGAUGGAGCUGUAUCUGUUAUAUGGACCCAGACAGAACGGGAAGAAAAGCACACAGCUGCCCAGAGGGUGAUCCUGACUUUACUGGACAUACUGACUGUAAUUUUAGAGAAUUCAAACGCUAUGUGAAGAAAGCAAAACAGCUCGCCAAAACAGCGACUCCUGAUUGUGCUGAUGUGAUGCACAUCUGCUUAAUUUCCUGGUCUUUGAAUCCUAACAACCAUUGGGAGCCCAUUUGUAGAGACUCUCCUGGUCCACUUGCCUGUCCUUAUAUUGUUCUCUAUUUAAAUGCUAAUGAAUCUGUUACUAAGCAGAAAUAUCCAGCCUUGGUGGAUGAUGUUAUUCCUGGCUUACCCGGCUCUGAUUGGUGCAGAAACAUCGAGGUGUGGUAUUGUUAUAAAUACAGGACUUUGGGCUUUU